rnacentral:tRNA from 1 species
CGGGGUGUAGCGCAGCCUGGUAGCGCAUCGGCUUUGGGAGCCGAGGGCCGGAGGUUCGAAUCCUCUCACCCCGACCA